UCUUCUUUAUGCGUUUUCGAUUCUACGACAGAUUGUGAGUUUUUGAUUAAUUUAUCUUUGUUCGGUUACUUUGAUUGUGCUUUGAUAUGUUUUUUGAAGUGUUGAAGUGAAAGUACAUUAAAAUUCUCAAGUUGCUCUUAAGAAUAAUUUUGUGGUGGAAGCUGAGAUGAGAGUGAAAGUCACUGUUGGAUGAUUACCCUUACUAUGGAGUUCAAAUUUACCUUGAUGAGCAACAAAGGCAAAAAAAAGAAAAGUAAAGAGGAAGUCUCUCGCCUCGAGGAAAAUAAUUCCAGACGAUGGAAAAUCUGAUCGAACGAUAAAUCAUCCAUCUACAAGGAAACGAGGUUUUGGCGUUUCGCUGAAAGAUAAUCCCCGGCUGGUUGGAAACGUGCUGGAAUCCCGAUAAACCGUGGCUUGGGUCCGAGCCUCUUCUCUAUACGUUCUCCCGCUCACGGAAGAUUAAAAUAAAUGAAUAAACGAAGGAAAUAAAGAAAAAAAAAGGAAAAAAAGGAAAAAAAAAGAAAGGUUCACAGUAGAAGAACAAUGGCGCGCAAAAUGAGUUGACUCUUACUGCGCGUCAUUUGGGAGGGAUCGAAUGAGUCGCGAGUAUUUCAUCGAUUCCCCAGGAUUCUCUAGCAAUAGUCCUCGUUUACGAGCGUGAAAUGGUAGCCGAUGGCAAAGAAUAAAAGGUAUGGCUGUAUCGAAAUCACCGCGAAAACGCAAGCGGCGUUUCCAACGUUUCCGACUUAACCACGGUGUUUCAGCUACGCGCUGGAUAAUGACAGGAUUUGGCUAGGCGAUAACUGGAAGAAGGAAAGAAUUAUAGGCUGCGAGAGUGCCUCGUAAGCAUCGGGUCUCGCAGUUUUAACGGCGAUUCAACCGUUUUCUUGGCCACCUUUUCUUCGUUACUUUGUGAUUUCAACGCGGUUCGAGGGAACGGAAACGAUGUUUCUCGCGAGGAAGAGGAGAUAUCUUGGUAGACGAUAUUGGGAAUGACGAGGGAUAGGCGAGGAGAGCCUAUCGGCAGAAUGUUGGAUUCGAGCCAAAAAUCACCGUAGUUUGCAUAGUCGCAUCUUUUCUCGCCUAUAAAAUGUGUCCACGAAACAUUUACGUGGAUUUGUUUAUUUGCGAUAUAAUGAUAUCCGAUUCGCGUUUGAAAAUUUAAAAUUUAAUUUGCAAAUCAGGAUUAUUGAUAUGAUAGAAUUAAAUACGAAUUUGAAAUCAUUUUUCAAAAUCAUUUCGAGAGAAAUUAUUGAAUUAUAAAAAUUCAACGGUGUCCAUGUCUACAAUCUGUCAUUUAAAUAUAUAAUUUCUAUAAAUUUAACGAGCAGAAAGAGAAAACAAAAAAAGUCAUUUAAUAAUUUAUCUCAUUCUAUGAUAUUUUAAAAGUUUAAUAAUUAGAAUAUAGGUUAGAUUAGAUUCGAUUAGACUCUUUGAUUCCAAGAAUAACUAAAUUGGCCUCUGAUGUACAUAAAAGCAAAGUGACAAGAAAUAAGCAGGAAGUUAUUCUUAAAUUACUAUCGCUACACAAGUAUCGAUCGAAUUUCCCCUAUAUCCCCAAUGUAUUAUAUCUCACUCCUACAUACGUAUCGGAAAUCGGUUCAAAAAAUAUUCGUGGAGUCACGGUUCGUAGAGAAAUGGUCCAAAUACCUAGUUUAUAUCCUGGUGACCUGGUUGACCAUUUACGCACGACUGCAUACGAAGAAUAUUAAUUACGCGUCAACGACUCACCAAGUGUUCCGCAUUGACGUGGCGGAAGUAGGUCCGCCACGCGUUAAAUGCCACGAAGCAUCUUCACAACGGCGACACGAAUAAUUUGGCGUGAUAAUUGUCUGGCUAAACAGCCGCGAAUGCGGCUAGGAACGUGGGGCAAAAAAUUGUCUGCGGAAUAUCGAAUGUACCGUUUAUGAGAACGGAACAAAAUGUACGCGAUAACAGGGACGAGAUGUGUAUAAGAAUUUGAAAGAGAAUUGGUGGUAUUUGAAGAAACAUUAAUUGCAUGACCUAGCAGAAAUUCAACUGUUGGAAAAUGAAAUUGUGUGAAAAUUUGUUCACGUGUCUAACUUCUUCUCUGAUCCCUUGACAGUAAAAAAAAUCUUCCUGCAAUACCGAUCGAGACAACGUGAAUGUAACCGCGAUUGAUUUGAUCCUGACAAUUGGCUAAAUUAAAUUCCAGGGAUCGAAAAGUCGACGCGUCGUUGAUUGAUUGACGAGUAAUUUGGAUGGCGAUUGAAUACCCGCAACGAAGACGAUAAUGGAAUCGAAGUUAUCUCAUAUAUUGAAUUAGUGAGACGUGAUGUACGAUUUAUUGCUCUUUUCGUCUUGAAAAUAAAAACCAACAACGUAACAACGUAAGUAGCUCACAAAUAUUAUUGCCCCUGGGUCGAAACCUCUAUUCAUACCUUAAUUUUAUGCCAUACCGCAUUACUAGAGGCAAAUCUAUCUCCAGCUCUACAACCAUCAGGAGUAAAUAAAUUAUUAUGGUAUUAAUUUUUAUGUUUUAUUUACGAGAGCUUGAAACGACAUGACAUGCUUAACUCUCAGCUAAAGGAAUUUUUCUAUUGUACCAGAAAGAAGCAUAAUUAUGAAUAUCUUUGGAAAGAAAGAAGCAUUAAUUAAGUAAUAAUUUAAGAUACAUCUUUAAAACGUUAAAUAUCCAACUUGAAAAAUAACGAACGUCAUAAAUUCAAACUCUAUCACUCUAAGCUCAAAUUACUAUAGUGGAAGUCAUUAAAAUGUUCAUCGCGCAAUCACUCGUUUAUCUUAGGCGUAUCCUCAACCACAACGUUAGUUUUCCAACUUGAAAAGCAACAAACAUCCUGUCAUAAAUUUGAACAACAAUAGCCCACAUUGUUGUCAAUAAAUUCAUUGGGCAAUCGCUCAUUUAUCUCGUUGUCAGUCGCAUCCUUAACUUAAAUAAGCUAAUUUUCCAACUCGAGAAAAAUAGCAAAUAUUCUGCCAUCAAUUCGAAUUCACAACAAAGUUUAACAAUAGCAAAACGUUAUUCUUCUAUGCAAAUAUUCAUCGCGCGAUCGGCCGUUUAAGCUCGGGCGUCUCGUUAACCCGAAUAAUCCUUUUCCAUAUUUGCCUCGUCACGAAAGUCGUCGAGUCGAUAAUGAGUUCAUCGACGAUUACGGCAGCGGUGACACGACAUGGCUCGCGUGCAAAUACGCUUAUGUCACCGAUGCUGCAGGCUGCUUGUUCCAGAGCCAUCUUUAUUUCGGUCAUCGCUCCUUCGGCUCUCUCACCUUGUCCUCUUAUCUUUCCACGCGAUCCACGUAUAAUACUCGUAUAAUAGUACUUAUUUAUAUUACUACAUGUAGUGAUGGGUUGCGAUGCUUCUCAAGCAAUAUAAAUUCUUAGCGAUGAAGAAUUAUGGUAUCACAAUAUAUUAUAUAUAUUAUUUUCUGGUUAUCAAAAGGAAUGGAAUCGUAGAUCAUAUUCAUCGUUUCGAGUCUUGGUAAAUAUAAAUGUCUCUACUUUUAUUAUUUUGAAACGGUAGAAAGUAAAUUUCAUUUUACCCUUGUUUCUUGUACUUGAUAUCAGUGAACUUAAUAAGAUUUUGAUCUUAAGAUUCGACACAAUAACGCUGUCGAUUUCGGAUCCUUACUCCUUUGAUUAUAAACCUUCAAAUAAACAGUUAAACUCAAAAUUGUAUUAAAGUAAUGAGAAAGAAUGGUAUCAUACCCAUCACUACUCUGUCUUUAAAUUAUUAGCUAUGAUAGCUUACAAAGAAUACAAAGAAUACAAAGAAAAGAAAAAAACCAUUAUUAACCAGUCAUUUUCUCAGAAUUACUUGCUAACAUCUAAGCUCAUUACGAUCCCAUUAACAUUAUCUUGAUAUAACUCGGUAUUAAGGCAUGUAUUGAUAUCAAUUUCAACUAUCUACUCUUUUCCUAUAUCUUUAAAUACUUCAGCGUAGAAUUGUUGAAAAAUCGUAAGAAGAUAUCGUACCCAUCACUACCUAAUAUUCACGGCUCGUUCCAAUGGCGAAAUCUUGAACUUGACUGGACUUCUCUGAACGGCGCAGCAACCUUGCCGAUCGUUACCGUUACCCAUCGCCGUCUCGUCAUAAUGUACGCAAGCGAGUAAUGCGCGCGAGGUCGAGACUAAUUACACGAGUUUUCUACUGUGGACAUCGUCACCGGUAGAUUGAAUUGCGGAACCGCAGUCGUCCGAUCGAUCCUUCGAAGUGAUUUUUUAGACGCGUGGGAAAGCUUCGAUAACGAGAUUCUCAAUCGUUCGUUUGGAAAAGCCUGCGCCGCCUUCAUCGGCACGCUAUCUCACCUUUAUACGCGCGCAAUCCUUCAGACUAAUAACGAGGAUUAAUUGGUCGCGCCGGGGUUAAUGAUCCACACUCUCUCCGUGGUUGGAUCUUGGUUUCCUCUUCUUGGGCUCUUUAUUUAGACCUUGAUCAUUAAUCACAAGUGGUUAAUUCCUUAGAAAGAUUUGAAGUUACCUUAGAAAGAUUUGAAUCUUGAAUCGAAGAAAUGUGAAUAAGAUGGAAUCUGAAUUAGCUAAUAAUUUAAGUUUGAAUGUGUGUCGUAUGAUGAGACAAGAAUUACUAUAUUUAUAAUAAAAAAUUUUAUAUUGAAAUUUUAUAUGACUAUCUGAUUUGAUUGAAUCAUAGUAAUUUACAAAUAAUAUCCAAG